rnacentral:tRNA from 2 species
CACCGGGUGACUGAAAGUAAGUACUGGUCUCUUAAACCAAAAUAUAGUAAAUAACAACUACUCCCGAUGA